GGUGCCGUGCGGACUCUUUGCGUUUCCAGAUGAAGGAUUUGAGAUGUCCUGAAUGUCAUCACAGUCCUGAUACCAGAGGGAGGAUCUGGCGGAGCGCAGUUGAUGGAGGUGAACGAGGCGCCCGGAACGAGAUGGAAGAAGAUGCGUCGGUCCCUCGAGCGAGGGCCCCGUAGCGCCGCGGCGUCCCGGAGCUCCGCCCAAGUUAAGUGGGGAGAUGGGACGCGUCGGGUUGUCGGGUGCGUGCGGGGCGCCGGUCUGUCUAGUAUGGAUGCCUCUCGAGGAUGAGUGAGUGGCGCCCGAAGGUGGCAUCUCGGGUCUUGCGCAGCAGAAAGCGUGGGACGGCUAGGGCGAGCGCCUCCAGUCGGCGUCUCUGCGGCGCUUGCCGUCGCCGAUCUUCAUCGUUCGGGUCUCGAGGUCGCUCUYGCUCUUAGGGUUUUGGAACGCAACCGGCACUGCGCGACAGGGGCGGCGUAGGCAUCCUUUGUCUUCCCGCCUCUUCCCGCCGCCCGGGCUGCGUCGUCAUCGUCGUGCCGGCGGAUCCUCUCUCGAGGCGCGAACGUGACUCGGGCGUUCCGUCCCUCCGUCUCCCGGGCGUCACCGUCGGUGGCCCUUCAUGCUUGUGACCGUCAUCAAGGCCUUAUAGGGUGACGCUUUCUUCUUGGGCGCUGGUCUGGUGUUCCACCUUCUCGGGUGAUCCGCCAAGGCGUGAAUCACAGGCCCGAGUCAAGGUUAACUUUACAGCUGUAUAAGGCUCUGCUUUUGUAGAAGUACCCCGACCUCCCCUGCGUGUUGCUUUGCUCACCACCUGCACACAGGCUCAUUCAGCUGUAGCUUUUGUAGGCUUUCGGGCGGCCCGUUUUGACCUCCCAGGGAGCUUUCC